rnacentral:lncRNA from 1 species
AUCCGGGAUCUCUGUAUCCUUGGAAACCACACCUAGGUAGGUAGCAGUCAAGCCUCCCAGUGCCUUCAGAAUCUUUGCUGAGUGGCCUCUCCAGGUUGUGAAUUUUCCCUGCUUAGGUGUCCAUCAAGGGAAGAAGACUGGAGGAAAAGCUGCUGGAACGUGAACCACUGACAUUAUCAGAUGAUUCUUCAUACUUGUUGCUUCUGCCCAGUUUUGUUCCAGGCUCUUCGCCAUGAAGCCUGCACCAACAAAGGAACCCAUGGAAGGGACUGCUGCUGUCAUUCCUAUUCUGUGACAGGCAAGAGUCAAAGGCAAUAAUUAGGCCACUCCUCAAAACUUAGAGUGACUCAGGCACGUGUGCCCCGGCUCCCUAACAGACUGACUUUAGCUGAUGACAUGUGAGUACACUUCUGAGCACC